GCAGCAACUCAUUUUCUCUGGGACCCCUCUCUGCACGGAGAGCUCUUCUCUUUCUUUCGCCUAUUAAACUUACAUGGCCGUGGGACAAUGAACCUCAGGUAUUACCCCAGAGAAACAACAUCGCUUCAUUGAGGGGAAUGCAAAAAUGUAGUAAAGGAAAUUGAGAAUGAGAAGCCAAUAAAGUAGGUAAGAAACAAGGUAGAGUGACAUCAUGGAAGCCAAACAAAGCAAGUGUUUCCAGGAUGAAGGCGUGAUCAACUGGGUCAAAUGUAUGGUGACAGAUCAAAUAAGAUGAGGACUAAUCAUUAAUCAUGGAUUUUAGCAACACUGAGUCCCUGUGGACCUUUACAGGAGAAGUUCUGGUGGAGGGCUGAGAGCAAAAGCCUGGUUGAAGUGAGUUUGAAAAGAUGUGAAAUGUCCUUCCAAGUGUUCCUGAAACAAGGAGAUAUUUGAAGUCUCUCCAGCCUGAUAUCCCCAGUGGAAAUAAGUCAAUGUUGGAACAAGAAGUAUGAGCAACCAGAAUUUAAAAAAAUCUUGCUAAGGUUCUGAACAUAGAAGAGGUCUGUUUUCCUAUCAUUCGACACUGAAAUGACGUUUCCAGGAUAAAAUUCUCCAAUUCAUGUCGAGUGUGCUUAUCCAUGUUUUCCCCAGGUGACCAUCUAACCCCCUCAAUAUUUUUUUCCACCAGGUGGCAAUGCCCUCUUACUAUUGAAGAGCUGAAAGCUCAACAUGACAAAAACAGUGAAUAACCUGGGUUUCUGAAAGAACAUUCUGACAACUGUCUUUGUUUAGAAAGUUGACAUUUUCAUCAGAGUUGCCUCCUGGAAAAUCCAUUACAGAUUCCCAAACUGCUGAUUAUACACAACCUGAGAAGAAAUCUAAGGGAAGGUGACUGGCUGCUUUAUAUCAAAAGAAGGUCACCUAAUGUCUUAAACUCAAAGUGUGUUUUUUUUUUUUAGAAAGAAGGAGAAAAGGUUUUUGAUAAUCUGAAAUUUUGGCAGCAUAGGGCAGAUAACAGAAAGUCUGAUCUACUCUCAAGAAAGAAAGGAUGGAUAAAACAAUUGAUUAAGAAAAAAAACACAAAAUGAGAGAGUGAGGGAAAAUUUUAGGGAUUGAUUUAUAUAUAUUUUAAAUUAGUAAUCAAUAAAUAUUUGAUGAAUGAAUGAAAGGACAGAAAAGAGAGUAUCUGAUGAAAUGCAAUAUUCUAUGAUCUAGUACUCCAGAAAUUGUUGAAAGAAAAGGAAACAUUUUGAGAAACAUCAAGUUUAGAAUAUAGACUGGAACAGGGGUCAGCAAACUGUGAUCCAUGAGACCAUUCUGGCUUAACACCUGUUCUUGCAAAUAAAGUUUUAUUGGAACAACCACAUUCAUUUAUUCACAAAUCAACUAUGGCUGCUGCCAUGUGCUGUAACUGCAGAACUAUGUGUUUUCCACAUAACACCAGGCCCACAAAUCCUAAAAGACUUACUAACUGGCCCUUACCAUGAAAAGUGUGAUGAUUUCUGGAGUAGCAUUUAAGGACAUGGGUUUUAGAACCAGAUAAAUAUAAACUUCAGUCUCAGUUCUAACACUUAAUAGCUGUUUGACCUUAACUAAAUUGUAAGGGUUAAUGUAGGCCUUGCUUUUAAAACACUUAGCACCCUGCUGAUACACAGAAAUCAUAUUACUCAUUACUAUCUCUCUUGUGUAAACUCAAUGAGAAACUGAGAUAAUUUCCUCAACUCUCAUUAAUCCUCAAAAACGAAAAUAUUUUGUAAUUAUAGACAAACGGUGGAGAAUAAAUGUACCUCCUUUUAAUUCUGGCAAACCUGCUUUCUCCAAAUAACUCCUCUCUGUUUCCUUCUCUUUCAGUAGAGUCAAACUCUUGAUGACGGUAUUUAGCAGUUGGUAAAUGCCUAGUGUGCUGAGUCUGUGCAGAUCUGAUACUCUUCACAGUCCCUGACCAAAGCCCCGGAUCCUGAAUCUUACAAAAUGCAAUGGAAUCUUGAAAAAUAGAAAAGACAUGGGUGUUAUCACCAGGCCAACUUUAUGGGAAUUUGAAAUACUAAUAACAUCAACAAAUAACAAUACAUGGAGCAGUGAUAUGACAAGAGCCGUAACUCCCAUAGCAGGUAAGUAGCACAUUGUCAGUAAGGAUGUGGAAAUCAAAGUUUAAUUGUCCUGAGGUUUCUCAGAUUCCUUUUCCUUUCCUGGUGAGGGUGGCAAUGUGUGCCCCUGACACAAUGCACUCUAAUUUCCUUCUAUUUCCUUAGCAUAGGCCCUCAAAGCCCCAUUAUUCCAGAUUUUGUGAUAAACAAAUAUUAAAACAAAUAAAAAAUAAAUGAGCUUACAUGGGAUACCUUUCUACCUCAACAUUGCAACCUGCUUCCCCUCAAUUUCCAGUCUUGCUUGCUUUGCUUUAAUAAAAGUUUCCAAAUGGUUCUUCUUUAAAACAUACUUUUGCAACACCAAAAAAGCUAACUGCAUUGAAGAAUGGCUCUGAUGUUGUUCAAUGUGCGCAACACAGAAUUCAAUAAAAACACAUUUGAUUUUAAAGGGAUU
rnacentral:lncRNA from 1 species